rnacentral:rRNA from 1 species
UACGUAGGGUGCGAGCGUUAAUCGGAAUUACUGGGCGUAAAGCGUGCGCAGGCUGUUUUGUAAGUCAGAUGUGAAAUCCCCGAGCUCAACUUGGGAACCGCGUUUGAAACUACAAGACUAGAAUAUGUCAGAGGGGGGUAGAAUUCCACGUGUAGCAGUGAAAUGCGUAGAGAUGUGGAGGAAUACCAAUGGCGAAGGCAGCCCCCUGGGAUAAUAUUGACGCUCAUGCACGAAAGCGUGGGGAGCAAACAGG